UUGCAUCUUCUCCUGGAAGAUUGAAAUUCCCAUCUCCCUGGCUUCUCUGUACUUGUUGAGAUGGGAGGAUCCUUCCUGAGUGAGGCACCAUGCUCAGCCAGUGGCCCUGGAGAGGAUCAGUGAUACUCCCCUGGCUACAUCUGGACAGACCUGGAGGAGAUGAGCGUGUCGCUCCCACCUUUGAGUGCAGUUGAACCUUGCCUGAUGGAGCGAUGAGACACCCAAAGAGAUGCUGCAAUGCUACAUAAUCAAGGUGAGGAGCUCUGAGACUCCUGGAGUCACAGCAAAUUCCUAAUGAAGAGGGAAGAGUGGGGUAAGUGGAGACAUUGCCUUUGCAGUGGGUCACAUGUCCCCACAAUGGAGUAAAUGCCCUGAAGUGAAUAUUCUGUGUGUGUAUGAUCAGCCUUAACUAGCCCUGGUUAUGUGCAUGUUGAGAAAGGUGUCAAGAAAAUGACAGAUAUUUUUCUCUUUAUUUUUA